rnacentral:rRNA from 1 species
UACAGAGGUCCCAAGCGUUGUUCGGAUUCAUUGGGCGUAAAGGGUGCGUAGGCGGCGCGGUAAGUCGGGUGUGAAAUCUCGGGGCUUAACUCCGAAACUGCAUUCGAUACUGCCGUGCUUGAGGACUGGAGAGGAGACUGGAAUUUACGGUGUAGCAGUGAAAUGCGUAGAGAUCGUAAGGAAGACCAGUGGCGAAGGCGGGGUCUCUGGACAGUUCCUGACACUGAGGCACGAAGGCCAGGGGGAGCAAACGGG